ensembl:lncRNA
GUCUAAGUUGAAAGUAAAAAUGCUGACAUGAUAAUCAAAGCCAAUCAUAUACUGUAUAAUGCAGGACCAGUAAAACUUCUAUGUGCCACAGAAAGUUACAGAAUAUGCAAAAUACGGUAUACUUCAUUCAUUGCUUGUGGUCGUGGCUGCUUAAUUGGACCAAAAUCUGGGCACUUUUGUUAAAAAUGGAUGAGACCUUUUACUUAUGUAUUUUUUUUAUUAUUAUUAUUAUUAUUUUUAAGUUGAGAUUAAAUAUAUUUUCAGUGUGGUUUAGACUUGUGGACCCCACUGUAAAAUAUUAAAAGUGUCUGAUAAUAUGAUAUUACUGAGAUAAAGUGAGUAGCGCUGUUUUUGGCUGGUCAUGUGAUUUGUCUGUCCAUGCUGGAAGAAAAAGUAUAUUGUGUCAUGAUGUGACACAAUCACAGCCAAUCAGAAUAUAUUUGAUGUAUUAUAUAUGUGGGGCAGAAUUUUGCACUAAGAAAUAUUUCUUCUUAGCUAAAUGCUACAGAAAGUGCUUGUGGUUGUGGCUGAUUAAUACUAAAAAAAAUCUCUUUUUUCUCUUUUUCCCCUCAUUUGCUCUCUGAAUUGGAUCGGUUCAAAUUGAACUGGUGGACAAAUAGGUCCCAAAGCUUCUCACAUGUGACCACAAGCUCGGGCAUGUCAGCUGCUUCUGCUCUCCUCUCUGGAUGACAGAUACAUCAGGUCUGGGUUCAGCUGCAGGGCCUCAGGAGAGUGAGAGGAAGCUGCUCUCAUCCUGGCCCAGCGUUGAGAAGUGUAGUGCAGGGAGAGUUUCCAGCUCCACUGGGAAGCGGCUGGUGGCUCUGCCCUGCGCUCUGGCCAUGCGAGAAGCUGUUGUCUCAGACCUCUUUGAACCUCUCAAACUGAAGCCCUCUAGAACACCUAAACAUUUUCCAUUGUCCGGUAACAUUUCCUUUGGUCUCUUCUCUGUGUCUGUUUCUUGUCUAGUCAGAGGAAGAUGGUAUAAGAGGAAUUCAGAAGGCCAAGGACAAGAUAAAAAAACGAACUCAGGCGAUAACGCUCAGACUACAAAUAGCCGGGACAAGAGCAUCGCUCACAGAUUUAUGAAGAGUCCAGAAAUGUGUCUCAUCAUUAUGGAGGAAGGGCCAGCCUGUGGGUUUGUGGGGCCUCAAGUCAGAUCAUCGAAAGAAUGGCCAUAACAUAAUAACAUCUAUAGAACCUCUGCAAUGUCUUUAACCAGUCCAACUCUUGGCAGGUGCAGAACACUAAAGGACCAUUUUAUUUCUAAAUUAGUCUGAAAGGCGCACCACAAAGACUGGAAAUGCUGCUGCCCUUUCAUUUUAAAUGGUACGUUGGCAUUUAACACUACACAUGUCAGCAGAACUUCACUCUCCGUUUAUGGCUUCUUAAUGUAUGUGUAUUUGUUCACUGCCACUUAUGAUAUUAGCUGUUGUCAUCUGCAGUGGAAAAGGACAUUGCAGAUAUGAAAAAGCAUUCUUGUGAUCAUAAAUGAAUUUGUAAACUACAUUCAUAAACUCCCACCUUUUUAUAUAGCCUCCUCCACUUUCCAGUAGCACAAAAUAAUCGACUUUUACACACAGAAAAAAAAAAAAACUUAUAUAGAAAAAACUAUAGCACAUUACUGUAAUUGUUUUUCAUUUCCCCUCUUCCUUUCCUUUAAUCUUUUUUUUUCUUUUACAAAAAGGUGACUGAUGUCACCUCUCUCCACUUGUCAAGUGUAAGAUGCUUUUAAAAUAAUAAAAAAAAAUGUAUAUUUAAUCA